rnacentral:rRNA from 1 species
CGGGUGAGUAAUGCUUAGGAAUCUGCCCAGUAGUGGGGGACAACUCGAGGAAACUCGAGCUAAUACCGCAUACGCCCUAUGGGGGAAAGUGGAGGAUCUUCGGACUUCACGCUAUUGGAUGAGCCUAAGUCGGAUUAGCUUGUUGGUGAGGUAAAGGCUCACCAAGGCGACGAUCCGUAGCUGGUCUGAGAGGACGAUCAGCCACACUGGGACUGAGACACGGCCCAG